ensembl:lncRNA
CGGCUCAAGAUCUCCAACUCCAAAGUGACCAAAGCUGUGCUCUGCCCUGCAGCUCCUCAGCAUUACACCUCCGUUCUGCUCCAGGGGCCUGGGGAGGGAAAAAUCAUUUGAAACUAAGAAGAUGUGCUGUUUGCUUUGGGUAAUUACAAGCGAGCUUUGGAUUCUUCAAGCAAUGAAAAGUGUGCAAUGGGAGUGGGUCCUAUCCGGGUGUGGUGGUGAUGGGUUGGUGAUUGGACUGGAUGAUCUUAGUGGCCUUUCCAACCUUUACGAUCUCCAGCACCGCUCCCUCCAUCCCACGCCCGCCCCGUGCACCUGGGCACGUGGUUGCAUUUCCUAUAGAGGAACUUCAUGGCGCUUUGGGCUCAGUGAGAGGAGAAUGCUGCUGACAUUUUCUUAUCUCAAGUUACAAUUUCCUGUGAGCAUCACAGUGAUAAAACAUGGGAGAUGUGCAGCUCGCGUGGAGAGAGUGCAUCGUGCAUGGCACCGGGGGGCAGAGGAUGCCCGCGGGAUGCGGCUCUCGGUGCCGUCAUUGUUGUCCCCCCGCCUGUCUGCAGGGAAUUUUAUGGGGAGGGCUUUUGGCGGGGCGAGGAGGAGGAGGAGGAGGGGAGCUUUCCCCCAAAGCACCCAGGAAUCUGUCAAAAGAGGGACAGAAAAGAGAAGAAGAAGAAGAAGGGAGACAGAGAGUGGGAACGUCAAGGACCCCUGACUAAUGAAUAGCAAGUUUGCCCUUGAACCUCCCUGGGCUUUGCCAUUCCCAGGCUCCAAACAAGGGCUGAUGCAUGCUUGGGCCCAGCUGCAGGGGGACCGGGCUAUGGUUCAUCUCAGACACUUUGACAGCCCGGGCCUUUUCCCCGCAUAGCUCAGACUCGCCUAACUACUCCCCUGGCAACAGCUCAGUGCAGGAACCUGCGCGGAGGCCCUGCCUGCUGCAUACAGAAGCAUGAAAGACGCGGGGAGCGCCAGCCGUAGGGGUCUGCACUGAAUGGAUGGAGCAAACAGGCACUGCAGACGGCUGCAAACACCCGACGGCUCCAAAGCACGACCCAGGAACGUUCCCAC